rnacentral:miRNA from 1 species
UCAGAUCUACUUCAUACCCAUG